rnacentral:rRNA from 1 species
AACGAAUGCUGGCGGCAUGCCUAACACAUGCAAGUCGAACGAGACCUUCGGGUCUAGUGGCGCACGGGUGCGUAACGCGUGGGAACCUGCCCUUAGGUUCGGAAUAACUCCCCGAAAGGGGUGCUAAUACCGGAUAAUGUCUUCGGACCAAAGAUUUAUCGCCUUUGGAUGGGCCCGCGUUGGAUUAGCUAGUUGGUAGGGUAAAAGCCUACCAAGGCGACGAUCCAUAGCUGGUCUGAGAGGAUGAUCAGCCACACUGGGACUGAGACACGGCCCAGACUCCUACGGGAGGCAGCAGUGGGGAAUAUUGGACAAUGGGCGAAAGCCUGAUCCAGCAAUGCCGCGUGAGUGAUGAGGGCCUUAGGGUUGUAAAGCUCUUUUACCCGGGAUGAUAAUGACAGUACCGGGAGAAUAAGCUCCGGCUAACUCCGUG